rnacentral:rRNA from 1 species
CCUGAACGCUGGCGGCGUGGCUAAGACAUGCAAGUCGCACGGUGCCGUAGCAAUACGGUACAGUGGCGAACGGGUGAGUAAUGAAUCGCUAAUGUACCCCGGACUCUGGGAUAGCUAUCCGAAAGGGUAGGUAAUACCAGAUGAGACCACGAACAGGCAUCUGUUUGUGCUCAAAGGUCCGCCGGUCUGGGAGCAGGCGAUUUCGUAUCAGCUAGUUGGGAGGUAACGGCUCACCAAGGCGACGACGCGUAGCCGGACUGAGAGGUUGGCCGGCCACAUUGGGACUGAGACACUGCCCAGACUCCUACGGGGGGCUGCAGUAACGAAUCUUCCGCAAUGCACGAAAGUGUGACGGAGCGACGCCGCGUGUGGGACGAAGCCCUUC